GAUGAACGCUGGCGGCGUGCCUAAUACAUGCAAGUCGAGCGAACAGAUGCUGCUCUUGCUCCUCUGACGUUAGCCGCGGACGGGUGAGUCACACGUGUAUAACCUACCUAUCAUACUGGGAUCACUUCGGGAAUCCGGAGCUAAUACCGUAUAAUAUCUUGAACCGCAUGGUUCAAUAGUGAAAUACGGUUUUGCUGUCACUUCUCGAUGGAUCCGCGCCGCAUUAGCUAGUUGGUAAGUUAACGGCUUACCAAGGCGACGAUGCGUAGCCGACCUGAGAGGGGGAUAGGCGACACGGGAAGUGAGACACGGACAAGGGGACUAAGGGAGGCAGCAGAAGGGAAUGGUCAGCAAUGGGCGAAAGCAUGACGGAGCAACGCGGCGUGAGUGAUGAAGGUCUUCGGAUCGUAAAACUCUGUUAUGAGGGAAGAACAAAUGUGGAAGUAAAUAUGCAGGUAGUGACGGUAACGAAUAAGAAAGCAACGGCUAACUACGUG
rnacentral:rRNA from 1 species